CAGCAGCAUGAAGAAGCUCCCCUCUCUCUCUCCUCUCUGCUCCAAGGUAAGGGUUAAAGGGGGGGUGAUGUGACAAGAUGGCCAAAAAGUCAACUUGCACCCUGCUUCCACUUUGUACCGGUACAAACCCAGAUUUGUACCGGUACAGCUCACUGAAAAUCUGCUAUUUCGCAGAUCUUCAAGAUACACGCUGCUCUCAAGUUCCCACAAGGCCCGUUUGGCGUCCACUUCACGCCAACG
rnacentral:lncRNA from 1 species